CCUUUCUCCCUCUUCUUUCUUUCGCAUCAAAAUCUUCGAAGUUUGGCAUUUCCUCCCGAGUACCGACCAUUCAAUUCUCAACCAAUUUGUUGUCAUUUUUUAAUUUUUUUUCAAAACAUUUUUUGUGUGUUCAGAUGUAUUAAAUGAUAAAAAAGAUUUUUAAUAAAAAAACUGUUCGGUUGUUCGCUUGUUAAACAAGUCGGAUCUAAAGGUAAGAAAGGUGGAGCGACUAGGAGAUGGGUGUAGAUGAGCCCUGACGCAUAGUUCUUUUGGGUUACCAAGUUGUGUAUGUGAGGAGAGGUCCACCUGCAAAAGGACUCUGACGCCCAAGUCAAUAUCCGUAUGAGGCAAAAGUUUAUUUUAGCAUAGGUGACGUAACUGGGGGAGGGGUAGGACCUUCCCUUAUAUAGUCUAUACCAACGUGGAUCCUAUACAGGCAGACCCUCUUUCUUAGAAGCUUCCACUCCAGCUGUCCAGGUUCACGCAGAAGGAAAUGCCACUCGGGUCGCUGCUUGGUUGGGCCCUGUUAACCCACCGGGUCGGGCGGACGCCCGAACCUUAGUUCAAGGUUAAUAGGCUGGGCCGGAACAGUGCUGAUGAGCGCAUAUUUUAUACACUUUUUGGCAUCAUUUUCAUAUAGUUUUUAGUAAAUUCUGGCAGAAAUUGAGGUGCUAGAGCAAAAGUCUGAUUCAGAGACAGAGAAAGCACUGCAGAUGCUGUUCGGAGCUGACCUCCUUGCAAUCAAAAGAGAUUUUCUGGAGUUACAGAAGUUCAAAUGGAGCGUUCUAAAUUGCUAUGGAAAGCUAACAUCUAGAGCUUUCCAUCAAAGUAUAAUAAUCCAUACUUUGCUUCAGAAUUGAAGGCCUAAAACUGGCGUCCAAUGCUAGUCUCCUGCCCUAUUCUAGCGUCCAGUGCCCAAAGGAGAAGAGACCAGCAUCCAACGCCCAUAAAAGACCCCCUAGCCAGAGUUCAAUGCUCUAGAGGCCUCCUAGUACGUGGAUAUAAUCAAAGUUCAGCCGAAACACUCACCAAGUCGGCCCCAGAAGUGGAUUUUAUCACUAAAAGAUUGUUUUACCCUUUUUAUGUAAUCCUUAGUCAUUAGUUUAAUAUUAAAGGGAGACGAUCACACUUGUUUAGGAUCUCUUCUAGCAUAUUUCGAAUUUUACAUUGCACUUUCUAUCAGUAUGAGUUUCUAAAUCUCCUAGGCUGAUGGGAGGAGCCCUGCUGAGUUUUAUGGAUUAAUAAAAGUAUUACUAUUUCCUUUCAA